UAAAGAUUCAUCGGUGAUGGAUGGGGAUGCGUCUGAUUAGCUUGUUGGCGGGGUAACGGCCCACCAAGGCGACGAUCAGUAGGGGUUCUGAGAGGAAGGUCCCCCACAUUGGAACUGAGACACGGUCCAAACUCCUACGGGAGGCAGCAGUGAGGAAUAUUGGUCAAUGGGCGAGAGCCUGAACCAGCCAAGUAGCGUGCAGGAUGACGGCCCUAUGGGUUGUAAACUGCUUUUAUAAGGGAAUAAAGUGAGUCUCGUGAGACUUUUUGCAUGUACCUUAUGAAUAAGGACCGGCUAAUUCCGUGCCAGCAGCCGCGGUAAUACGGAAGGUCCGGGCGUUAUCCGGAUUUAUUGGGUUUAAAGGGGGCGUAGGCCGGAGAUUAAGCGUGUUGUGAAAUGUAGACGCUCAACGUCUGCACUGCAGCGCGAACUGGUUUCCUUGAGUACGCACAAAGUGGGCGGAAUUCGUGGUGUAGCGGUGAAAUGCUUAGAUAUCACGAAGAACUCCGAUUGCGAAGGCAGCUCACUGGAGCGCAACUGACGCUGAAGCUCGAAAGUGCGGGUAUCGAACAGGAUUAGAUACCCUGGUAGUCCGCACGGUAAACGAUGGAUGCCCGCUGUUGGUCUGAAUAGGUCAGCGGCCAAGCGAAAGCAUUAAGCAUCCCACCUGGGGAGUACGCCGGCAACGGUGCAACUCAA
rnacentral:rRNA from 1 species